AGCCAAGGACAUGAUUCUAUACUUGAUGUCACUGAUCAGGUUGUAUCUGAGUAUAAUCAAAUGGUUUCUGAGUCU
rfam:Arabidopsis thaliana chromosome 4, complete sequence.